GAUGAACGCUGGCGGCGUGCCUAAUACAUGCAAGUCGAGCGAACAGACGAGGAGCUUGCUCCUCUGACGUUAGCGGCGGACGGGUGAGUAACACGUGGAUAACCUACCUAUAAGACUGGGAUAACUUCGGGAAACCGGAGCUAAUACCGGAUAAUAUAUUGAACCGCAUGGUUCAAUAGUGAAAGACGGUUUUGCUGUCACUUAUAGAUGGAUCGGAGCCGCAUUAGCUAGUUGGUAGGGUAACGGCUUACCAAGGGUACGAUGGGUAGCCGGCCUGAGAGCGUGAACACCGACAAGGCUACUAAGAGAAGGCGCAGAAGGGUAUGUUACGCAGCAGGGGGGAACAUUGCAGAAUGAGCGCACGUCUGAUGUAGAAAUCCUGCGUGCGUGAAAACGUCUUUUUAGGGGAGAACAAAUGUGUAAGUAACUAUACACGUCUUGACGGUACCUAAUCAGAAAGCCACGGCUAACUACGUG
rnacentral:rRNA from 1 species